GAGAAGUCAAGAAUUGUCUUCAGUCUUCAUUAACAUGCAUUGAUACUGCUGACCAGUGGGCAAGGCAUUACCUAGGUCUUCAAGGGUCCUUCCUCCUCCUAAUGAUGACACAGUGCAUAUGGAUCACGAGUAAAAAUAGCAUGACUCUUCAGAAAACGUACUUAAAUCUCUUUUUUUAUAAGAAACAUGA